AGUGAACGCUGGCGGUAGGCCUAACACAUGCAAGUCGAACGGCAGCACAGAGGAGCUUGCUCCUUGGGUGGCGAGUGGCGGACGGGUGAGGAAUACAUCGGAAUCUACUCUGUCGUGGGGGAUAACGUAGGGAACCUUACGCUAAUACCGCAUACGACCUACGGGUGAAAGCAGGGGACCUUCGGGCCUUGCGCGAUUGAAUGAGCCGAUGUCGGAUUAGCUAGUUGGGGGGGUAAAGGCCCACCAAGGCGACGAUCCGUAGCUGGUCUGAGAGGAUGAUAAGCCACACUGGAACUGAGACACGGUCCAGACUCCUACGGGAGGCAGCAGUGGGGAAUAUUGGACAAUGGGCGCAAGCCUGAUCCAGCCAUACCGCGUGGGUGAAGAAGGACUUCGGGUUGUAAAGCCCUUUUGUUGGGAAAGAAAUCCAGCUGGCUAAUACCCGGUUGGGAUGACGGUACCCAAAGAAUAAGCACCGGCUAACUUCGUGCCAGCCGCCGCCGUAA
rnacentral:rRNA from 1 species